rnacentral:tRNA from 2 species
GGGCUCUUAGCUCAGCUGGUUCAGAGCACCUGCCUUACAAGCAGGGGGUCACUGGUUCGAAUCCAGUAGGGCCCAC